GAUGGAGUGGCUCAAGUAGUAGAGCACUUGUUUAGCAAACAAAGACCUGGCUUCAAACCCCAGCACUCUCU
rnacentral:tRNA from 1 species